CCCUUGUCUAAGGGUGGCAAUGCUUGCUACAGGUCCAGGUGGCACAUGCAUAGGCCACACUGACUUGGGAUGGUUAGCAGUGUUCUGGGCCAGCUGCCAAGUCUGCCCUGGGGUUGUUCCUGAUUGGGCAAUUUAGGUCACAGGCCCAUCUCUGGAGCAAAGAGAUUGUGGCCUGGAUGGGGAGGAGGAAUAGGGGUUGGCCCCAGGCUCAGGAGUUGAGAGGAAGAGUGGAGAGUGGAAUGAACCCGGGCUGUCCCUAAAAAGAAAGGGAGGGACGGAUGUGGACAGGGGCCUCCAGCAAGCACAGUGGAGGGGACAGGAGAGAUUGACAAGCAAAGCCCUCGGGCGGCUCCGGCUGCUUGAGGAUGAGGUAAUCAUCCAGCCUUGGGGGCUGGCUGGCUGGGAGGGGGGUGCAGUAGCUGAAAUUGUGGGGGGUGGAACGGUUCUGGGUGAGGGGGCAGCUGGGGUACCUUGGGGAGGGGCCUGAACCCUGGAAACCACGCCUAGGAGGGCACCCAACCAGAAGCUUCCAAACUCCCCAAAUCUGCGCUAACGGCCCUCUCUGCCAGCAGGAGACCAGGGAUGCAGAGUUCUCCCUGCUCGGCUUCAGGUGGACUUGCUGCCCUGGGAGGGGGCCUGGUGCUUCCAGAAGCCGGUCUGGGUCAGAGACAACGGGGAAGGCCUGGGGCAGGCUGGGGGGGGGCGUGCUUGGUCAGGGGGGUGGGGAUGGGGCAGUGGCCUCUCCUGUCCCCUUCCCUUCCAUCCAAGACAAUCGGCUGCCAGCUAGGGUGGGAGACGAUGAAAGGCCGGGUGGGGUUGGUGGAAUCAUAGCCUCCAGGGCCUCUGGUCCCCCUCACCCUGUGCCUUCGUGGAAGGGAGGCCUGAGAGCUGUCCCCGGUCACCGGGGCCCCUGCCCUGACGCCAGGGGUCAGCCUCUCAAGGUUAGGGUCUGUCUCCUUCCCUCCCUCCCUUCAGCUUCGCACGUAAAGGGCACCCAGCUGCAGGACCUGCCUGUGUCCUCCGAGGCGCUGUCGGCCUGCGGGCUUGUGGCGGGGCCUCCGGGUGAAGCUCGAGGAGUGGAGCUGGGCCGGAUCGAUCGCUUCGUUUGGAUGGAAAAGAACCUAAAAUUUCUCAAUAAGGUUUCUAUUGAUUAG
rnacentral:lncRNA from 1 species